UAGGGAAUCUUCGGCAAUGGGGGCAACCCUGACCGAGCAACGCCGCGUGAGUGAAGAAGGUUUUCGGAUCGUAAAGCUCUGUUGUAAGUCAAGAACGAGUGUGAGAGUGGAAAGUUCACACUGUGACGGUAGCUUACCAGAAAGGGACGGCUAACUACGUGCCAGCAGCCGCGGUAAUACGUAGGUCCCGAGCGUUGUCCGGAUUUAUUGGGCGUAAAGCGAGCGCAGGCGGUUUGAUAAGUCUGAAGUUAAAGGCUGUGGCUCAACCAUAGUUCGCUUUGGAAACUGUCAAACUUGAGUGCAGAAGGGGAGAGUGGAAUUCCAUGUGUAGCGGUGAAAUGCGUAGAUAUAUGGAGGAACACCGGUGGCGAAAGCGGCUCUCUGGUCUGUAACUGACGCUGAGGCUCGAAAGCGUGGGGAGCGAACAGGAUUAGAUACCCUGGUAGUCCACGCCGUAACGAUGAGUGCUAGGUGUUGGAUCCUUUCCGGAAUUCAGUGCCGCAGCUAACGCAUUAAGCACUCCGCCUGGGGGAGUACGACCGCAAGGUU
rnacentral:rRNA from 1 species